UACGGAGGGGGCUAGCGUUGUUCGGAAUUACUGGCGUAAAGCGCGCGCAGGCGGCUAUCCAAGUCAGUGGUGAAAGCCCGGAGCUCAACUCCGGAACUGCCAUUGAAACUGUUUAGCUUGAGGAUGAGAGAGGUGAGUGGAAUUCCCAGUGUAGAGGUGAAAUUCGUAGAUAUUGGGAAGAACACCGGUGGCGAAGGCGGCUCACUGGCUCAUUACUGACGCUCAGGCGCGAUAGCGUGGGGAGUCAAACAGG
rnacentral:rRNA from 1 species